CAAAUCAAUGUCUUAAUAGAAAAUUUAUCACCCAACACCUGAGUAAGCUAUGCUCUCUCCUGACUGAAACAGAAAAUUCCAAACCUUAAAAAAGCAUCUACUAAUAACAACAGUAAUUAGAGCUGCAAAUGGAAAACUCAUAACGACCCGACGACAGUACAUUUAGAAGAGAAACGUUUUAUAUAUACUAGAAAGCAGCUGCACAACUUCUGAACCCUUCACCAGUAUCUUCUUUUAAUCAUUUGCCAAUGCCGAGAAACCAUGCCACAAGAACCUGUCAAGCUGCUGAGUAUCCUCCAAAGUGAAGCAGCAUGAGCAGGCAAUUGUCAAGCAAACCUAAUACAUGAGAUGUCCCCAUGCUCCAGUCAACAUUUUUGGAGAAAACGAAGGGCCACAGAGAAGGCUGCAGCACCACAAAC
rnacentral:misc_RNA from 1 species